rnacentral:lncRNA from 1 species
CCGACCAUGAUCCGGGUAAGCUUCUCUCCUUCAUUUUUCAUUUUCGUCGUUGCUUUUUAUCAGUUCGGUCUUCUGACGGUCGGUCUAUUAUUUGUAGCUAAUCUACAAUUUGUCCGAGCUGGAGGCCGGAUAUCGAAGGUUCGACGAUCUCCGAGCGGCUUGGAAGGAUAAGGCCGCGACCGUCGAGGCCAAGAAGGCGAUAAUGGUCGAGCAGCUGAAACAAUCGAUU